rnacentral:rRNA from 1 species
AGUGAACGCUGGCGGUAGGCCUAACACAUGCAAGUCGAACGGCAGCACAGUAAGAGCUUGCUCUUACGGGUGGCGAGUGGCGGACGGGUGAGGAAUACAUCGGAAUCUACUUUUCGUUGGGGAUAACGUAGGGAAACUUACGCUAAUACCGCAUACGACCUACGGGUGAAAGCCGGGGAUCUUCGGACCUUGCGCGAUUGAAUUAGCCGAUGUCGGAUUAGCUAGUUGGCGGGGUAAAGGCCCACCAAGGCGACGAUCCGUAGCUGGUCUGAGAGGAUGAUCAGCCACACUGGAACUGAGACACGGUCCAGACUCCUACGGGAGGCAGCAGUGGGGAAUAUUGGACAAUGGGCGCAAGCCUGAUCCAGCCAUACCGCGUGGGUGAAGAAGGCCUUCGGGUUGUAAAGCCCUUUUGUUGGGAAAGAAAAGCAGCAGGUUAAUACCCCGCUGUUCUGACGGUACCCAAAGAAUAAGCACCGGCUAACUUCGUG